UGUUAUUUGGCAUGAGGCUUUUACCCUGCAUGAUUGUUUGGCCUUUUAUGGCUCAGUGGUGUGUGUGUGUGUUUUGGUUUGACAUGAGAUGGAUGAUCUUUGAGCAUCUCUAGGGUUCUACUGUGUGUCUCUCACUCACACCUGGCAUGGGGUUCUACGUGCCUGUCCUGGGUUCUGUGUGUAUCCGGCUUGCUUUGACAGUGAUACUGUUCAUACGGGGGUUGGCUUGAGAUAUUGGAAUGGUCAACUAAAUCAUACCUGAUGGACGGCCACACGUUUACUUAAGGACCUCCAGUAGACAUGAAGAGCCCUGAGCGACGCUCCGGAGCGAUAUCCAACACACUGGGCAGGAAGGAGAGUAUCUUACUCAAGUGUAAAAGGAUGCAAGCAGCGUGUUCAGAUCAGUGACUUCCAACUAGGACUACACCAAUCAGGAUUAAUGGAGGAUGGACACCAAAAGGAAUUCCACAAGGAGAGUCUGACGUUGGAAAGGGACCUAAAUGGAUAUUCAAGAUGACCUUCAGACCUGUAAUGAGAUGGCUCUUCCUACCUGGCUGGAUUGAUGGAGAGCCCUGUGGAUCUUGUCUUGCUCUCAGUGCACGUCUUCUCAGGCUGAACUGUAUUUGUUUCGGACAGGACUAGCUGAACGAUUGGUUCCCAUAAAUCAGAACCAAUCCGGGAACUCCAGCUAGUGUGCUCUUCGAGCUGAAGUUGUGCUCUUCAGCUGAGGAAGUAAGGAAACCUUUACUGGGGAUUAAAGGUGUAAAGAGGAGAAUGUUUCAAAGUGUUCCAUGGUACUCUGUAGACCGUUGUUGUGUUCCACUGGUUAAGAGGAAGAACCCACACAUUUUCCUCUUGGCCUUUCUCCUCUGAGAAUCCUGGCGCCAUCUUGAAGGAUAUUCCAGCUCAUGUAACUGAUGUCACGACAGAUUCUCAAACACUUGGUUUCUCCUGAGGGGCGUGUCUAUAGAACUGAAGACUUCAGACAGCACUGUAUCCCAGCAUGCAUCUCUGCUCACUCAGACCACACCCCCAUGAGUAGGAUGCAGCACUCUAGUGAUGGAGAUGUAGAGUUUUAUAAGUAACGAGGGAGCAGACUAAGGCUGUAAAUCUUUAAACCAUGAGGAUGGUUGGAUAGUUCAGGAAUUGGGCUUGUUUUUAUUAUGGGCAGUGCUUUCACUCAGAUGCCCACUUCUCACUGGAGCUGUACAUGUGUUGGCUGGCUGGCAUGAUUUGCUGUUGGUGAUGAGGCGGUCAGGGUGACGUUGCAGGGCUAUGGUCGGCUCUCAGUGAGCUCAACGUUUAGAUUUGCUCUGUAUGGUUUGUACCCUAAAUAAUCUAGAUAAUUGUAAAAUGUAGACACUGUUUUGUAUUGAAUGAUUUUAUGUUUAAAGUUGUGGGACGUACAUGGUAGUUUGGUUCUUCAUGUGGUUUUGAGUGAUAUAACUUACACACUGGGUGCAUAAUAAUGUAAAGGUACACUGAAUAGUAGUAAUUACCAACAGCAACAAACGGAUCUCAUCAAGGUAAGUCUGUUGGCUGUGUUUUAAUGAAGACCACCGCUGGACUUCAGGAUCUUCCUCCGUUCAGCUCAAGGUGAGGCGCUGGUUCUGUUUUUUCUUUGGUUGGUUCCGGCCGGAAUGUUCGGAUUCCAGUCGGACGGUUUGUGCUUCCCGCCGUGGAAGGUUCUGAGUGCGGUCACCUGAUUUAGUCCCAAUGGUUAGCAUAGAACGUUGUAGUCUUGACAACCAUAAGGAACCACCUAGCAGUUAGUUGGACGGGAGUCCCCUGAGGGAAUCUGGCGGUACGUUCUGGAUUGUAUUUGCGUAACCUCAAGCCGUUUCCAACGGAAACAAUUUUUCAGUCGGUUUCCAUUGGGAAUUGUUGCCCCUAUCUUAAACAACUUAAAUUUCAUAUUAAAUACAUACUGACACGUACGUCGUACAAUAUGUUGGUGAUUUCCGAUGGUUGCGCCGUACUUUUAACCACGAUGACGUGACGGGACUCUCACUGCGUACAAAACAGCGUUCUACUUGCGGGCCCAUUUUUGACAUCAGGGAAGGCUGAAAAUCAUUUCAAGGUCGAAGAUAAUUUGACAUUUCUUCAACGGAACCCAGCACCUGAAUAUGGCUGAGUAUAUUUGAUUUAAUAUCGAUACUGCUUGGUGUUCUUUGUUACUUCAGCUUUUGUACGUUCUAAAUAUCUGCUGUCAUUAAUUGCCACAGAAGUUAAAUCCUACCCAAUGGAAUGACUUUAAACAACGACGUUGGUGCAGAGUUACCAACUGGAUAAUAUCAAAGCUAAAAUAAUGGCCGUCAUUCCCACAUGUUACAGUAGAAGAUACUCUAGAACUGUACAAGGUUAAAAAGGUAACGUGUAGUUUGUCCAAAGGUGUCUGCCUCCUCACCCAGAGCAAGACCUCCACCUCCUCACCCAGAGCCAGACCUCCACCUCCUGCCAGAAGUCCCCCAGAACAGACCAGGACUCUGUCUGAGGAGAGCUGCUGGAGGAGCUGAGACGCUGGAGGACGACUAGGAAUCGACCAACAAGGAUUCCUCUAGAACGUGUUUCUGGAGUGGAGGCGAGCUGGUAGGGGAGCCAUGAAUCUAGAGGAUGACAUCACUCUACCAACAAGGAUUACCAGGACUCUGGCUGAGGAGAGCUGAUGGAGGAGCCAAGAACUCUGGAGGACGACGACAUCACUGCACCAACCAGGAUCCUCAUCAGGAAUCUGGAGGACUGAUGGAGAAGCCGUACAUCUGGAAGGCAAAUCCUGAGGACCACCAGGGCUCUACCAUCAAGGAUUCCUCAUAAGUUUGCAUUAUCUGGACAUAGUAGACUAGACACACCUGAGCUGAACCUCACCUGAUCCUGUUUGGUCGGGGGUAGACACACCUGAGCUACACCGGUCCUGAUCCUGACAUCCUGCUGUUCCCAUCUCCUCGGUUCAUCUGAGCCUCGUCCUCCAGAAGACCUGCUGAGCUCGGCAGUCUGAGGCUGAUGGAUCAAUGACCUCCAGUGGGAGUGAUCUUCUUGACCUCACAUAUCAGGAAUCUGGAGGACUGAUGGAGAAGCCGUACAUCUGGAAGGCAAAUCCUGAGGACCACCAGGGCUCUACCAUCAAGGAUUCCUCAUAAGUUUGCAUUAUCUGGACAUAGUGUACUAGACACACCUCAGCUGAACCUCACCUGAUCCUGUUUGGUCGGGGGUAGACACACCUGAGCUACACCCGUCCUGAUCCUGUCAUCCUGCUGUUCCCAUCUUCUCGGUUCAUCUGAGCCUCGUCCUCCAGAAGACCUGCUGAGCUCGGCAGUCUGAGGCUGAUGGAUCAAUGACCUCCAGUGGGAGUGAUCUUCUUAACCCCACAUGUAACCGUGUGCUUCCACACGCCUUUCCCUCAUGUCUGUCACUAACCUCACUACUACACUUCUCUCUACUGCUUCCUCUUUUCUUCCUUCUCUGUGGUUCAAACCUUUACACUGAAGGCGCGUCUUCCUGCCCUCAGAGGGUUGAGCGUCAGGGUUGAGCGUCAGGGUUGAGCGUCAGGGUUGAGCGUCAGGGUUGAGAGUCAGGGUUUAGAGUCAGGGACAGAGCUGGUCAGGGAGGACUGCUUUUACACAAACCUCUUCACUUGCUUUCGGUAUGGUGGUGACAUUUUGAAAAGAUUCAUUUGGGAAAAUGUUUUUCUCUGCUUUCCUUUACAAAAUUGUAUUAAACUUCUGUCAAGUGUUUUUGUUUACAUAUUAAAAUC